rnacentral:misc_RNA from 1 species
AAGUCGUAACAAGGUUUCCGUAGGUGAACCUACGGAAGGAUCAUUACUACUUACUUAUGGCCACCAAAGGGGGAAACCCUCUUAGCGGUACGGCAACACCCACCCUUGACUAUAUAUACCUUUCGUUAUUUCCCUCAGCAGGGUAACCUGCUGCUAGGGACAUUUAAAACCCUCUUGUAUCAAGUAUCAAAACUUCUAAAAUAAACCUAAAAUAUAACAACUUUCAACAAUGGAUCUCUUGGUUCUA